GCCGUGGUUGAGGCGCACAAGGAGAAAGGUUUUCGAGUCGGCCAUGCCGGAGAAACAAGACACACCUCUGAGGCCACUGCAGCCGCAAACACGAUGCCUCCAGUGUGGGGACAUUCUGGAGUGGUCAGAGGAGCACAGUGUCCUCCUUGGCUGCUCAUGUUGUUCCACAGUGGAUGAGGCUAUUGAGAAAGUAGCCAGAGGCCUGGGCAACAAAAUGAAGAAGAAAA